rnacentral:misc_RNA from 1 species
AUUGGGGUUCAUCAAAGGGUCCGUCAGUUCAUCAGAUUUGCGAUCGUCUUCUUCAAUCUCUUCGCAAAUCGAUUCGAAAAUGGUUUGCUUGGCGUGUCUGUUGCCUCUGUUUCUCAUUCCAGUCGUCAACGCGCUGCCUGUUCUAUUCUAUUUAAUUAUGGGCAAAAUUUAUGGAAUUUUUGGGUGGGAAUAUAGAAAACCACAGAGGGUACCGCCGGCUUGUCCCUAUCGCCCUGCUGCCAAACAAAAUAGCAAUGUGGACUUAGAACCUCUAGCUGGUCAGCAACACCCACCUCCAAAAGCUGUGGAUGCCGUGGAUGAGAAGCAAGACUGAAUCUGAAAAUUUCUGUUGUACAUACAUGUCAGCAAGAUCGACGGAUAUUUGUGGCCCUGGAAGCUGUGGACACUGUCGAUUGGAAGUUAUGAUUUCCAAUCUAUCAUGAAAAAGAA